rnacentral:rRNA from 1 species
UACGUAGGGUGCAAGCGUUGUCCGGAAUUAUUGGGCGUAAAGAGCUCGUAGGUGGCCUGUCGCGUCGGCUGUGAAAACUCGGGGCUCAACUCCGAGCUUGCAGUCGAUACGGGCAGGCUAGAGUUCGGCAGGGGAGACUGGAAUUCCUGGUGUAGCGGUGAAAUGCGCAGAUAUCAGGAGGAACACCGGUGGCGAAGGCGGGUCUCUGGGCCGAUACUGACACUGAGGAGCGCAAGCGUGGGGAGCGAACAGG